GACGAACGCUGGCGGCGUGCUUAACACAUGCAAGUCGAACGAUGAAACCUAGCUUGCUGGGUCGAUUAGUGGCGAACGGGUGAGUAACACGUGACUAACCUGCCCCUUUCUCUGGGAUAACGCUCCGAAAGGAGUGCUAAUACCGGAUACUCACACCGAGGCACAUGCCUUGGUGUGGAAAGUUUUUCGGAAAGGGAUGGAGUCGCGGCCUAUCAGCUUGUUGGUGAGGUAACGGCUCACCAAGGCGACGACGGGUAGCCGGCCUGAGAGGGCGACCGGCCACUGGACUGAGACACGGCCCAUACUCCUACGGGAGGCAGCAGUGGGGAAUAUUGCACAAUGGGCGCAAGCCUGAUGCAGCGACGCCGCGUGAGGGAUGAAGGUCUUCGGAUUGUAAACCUCUUUCAGUAGGGACGAAGCGAAAGUGACGGUACCUAAAGAAGAAGCACCGGCUAACUACGUGCCAGCCGCCGCGGUAA
rnacentral:rRNA from 1 species